rnacentral:rRNA from 1 species
UGGGGAAUCUUAGACAAUGGGCGCAAGCCUGAUCUAGCCAUGCCGCGUGGACGAUGAAGGCCUUCGGGUUGUAAAGUCCUUUCGGGGGGGCAGAUCAUGACGGUACCCCCAGAAGAAGCCCCGGCUAACUCCGUGCCAGCAGCCGCGGUACUACGGCGGGGGAUAGCGUUGUUCGGAAUUACUGGGCGCAAAGAGCCCGUAGGCGGCUCGGAUCGCAAGGGGUGCAAUCCCGGGGUCCAGCCCCGGGCC